rnacentral:rRNA from 1 species
CAAGAUUAAGUAAUUAAGCGUAUAUGGUGGAUGCCUUGGCAAUCAGAGGCGAUGAAGGACGUGCUAAUCUGCGAAAAGCGUCGGUAAGUUGAUAUGAGGCGUUAUAACCGGCGAUAUCCGAAUGGGGAAACCCAACAUUUAAUAAUGUUAUUAUUAACUGAAUUCAUAGGUUAAUAAAGCAAACCAAGGGAACUGAAACAUCUAAGUA